rnacentral:rRNA from 1 species
UACGUAGGGGGCAAGCGUUGUCCGGAUUCAUUGGGCGUAAAGCGCGUGUAGGCGGCCUGGUAGGUCUGCUGUGAAACCUCGAGGCUCAACCUCGAGAGGUCGGCGGAAACCACCUGGCUAGAGUCCGGAAGAGGAGAAUGGAAUUCCCGGUGUAGCGGUGAAAUGCGCAGAUAUCAGGAGGAACACCGGUGGCGAAGGCGGUUCUCUGGGCCUUACCUGACGCUGAGGAGCGAAAGCAUGGGGAGCAAACAGG